GCGAGGCCUUAGUGUGUUUUAUUCCAUCUCAACCUGUUCAGGCUGGAACCAUCCUCAGAGAGAGAUGCACGCGCUGAGAUAAGAGAAGAAUCUGUUCCUGUGUUUGAGAAGGAAGAAAAAAAAAGAGUUCUACAAACCUGCAAAGAGCCUGCAACUUUUGAUGCAACUGUAUGGAUGGGCCCUAACAAACCAGAGAGGGGGUCACCACAGUCCUGAAGACCACCCAAGCAAGACAACAGUGAUUUGAGUCCAGGAAGGAUGGAGUGGAUGGAGAAAUGAUUUGUGAGCGAUUUGUGGCAAAAAGGGUGGCAGCAAAGGUCAAAGGCAAGGUCUAUGAGAAAGUAGUAAGACAGUGGUGUUGAAAAAAAGACUCUUUCUCCAUUGUGGAUGUGUUAGGAAAGACAAUAUUGGUGCCAUUUGAACAAUUUUUUGUUUUAUAGACCCUGUUAUGGUUAAACUUUGUGACAGAGAAACUUGUAAACGAUGUCAAAGAACAAACUACAGUUGUUUUAGGACCAAACUUUAUGCAUCACUUUGCUCCUAAAGCAUGCAAUUACAGCAUGUAAUAUUUGUA